rnacentral:rRNA from 1 species
AGGACGAACGCUGGCGGCGUGCUUAACACAUGCAAGUCGAGCGGUAAGGCCUCUUCGGGGGUACACGAGCGGCGAACGGGUGAGUAACACGUGAGCAAUCUGCCCUUCACUUCGGGAUAAGCCUCGGAAACGGGGUCUAAUACCGGAUAUGACCGUGCCAUGCAUGUGGUGUGGUGGAAAGUUCUGGCGGUGGAGGAUGAGCUCGCGGCCUAUCAGCUUGUUGGUGGGGUAAUGGCCUACCAAGGCUUCGACGGGUAGCCGGCCUGAGAGGGUGACCGGCCACACUGGGACUGAGACACGGCCCAGACUCCUACGGGAGGCAGCAGUGGGGAAUAUUGGACAAUGGGCGAAAGCCUGAUCCAGCAACGCCGCGUGAGGGAUGACGGCCUUCGGGUUGUAAACCUCUUUCAGCGCCGACGAAGCGAGAGUGACGGUAGGCGCAGAGAAGCACCGGCAACGUACGUGCCAGCAGCCGC